rnacentral:rRNA from 1 species
AUUGAACGCUGGCGGCGUGCCUAACACAUGCAAGUCGAGCGGUAACGCGGGAGCAAUCCUGGCGACGAGCGGCGAACGGGUGAGUAAUGCUUCGGAAUCUUCCCAGUUGUGGGGAAUAACUAGCCGAAAGGUUAGCUAAUACCGCAUACGUCCUACGGGAGAAAGCAGGGGAUCGCAAGACCUUGCGCUAUUGGAUGAGCCGAAGUCGGAUUAGCUAGUUGGUAGGGUAACGGCCUACCAAGGCGACAAUCCGUAGCUGGUCUGAGAGGACGACCAGCCACACUGGGACUGAGACACGGCCCAGACUCCUACGGGAGGCUG